CCAGUAGUCAUAUGCUUGUCUCAAAGAUUAAGCCAUGCAUGUCUAAGUUCACACCCUCGUACGGUGAAACCGCGAAUGGCUCAUUAAAUCAGUCGAGGUUCCUUAGAUGAUCCAAAUCUACUUGGAUAACUGUGGCAAUUCUAGAGCUAAUACAUGCAAACCAGCUCCGACCCGGUGUCACAGCCGGGAAAGAGCGCUUUUAUUAGUUCAAAACCAGUCGGGGUCUCGGCCCCGUCCCUUUUGGUGACUCUGGAUAACUUUGUGCCGAUCGCAUGGCCUCGAGCCGGCGACGCAUCUUUCAAAUGUCUGCCCUAUCAAAUGUCGAUGGUACGUGAUAGGCCUACCAUGUUGACUACGGGUAACGGGGAAUCAGGGUUCGAUUCCGGAGAGGGAGCAUGAGAAAGGGCUACCACAUCCAAGGAAGGCAGAGGCGCGCA
rnacentral:rRNA from 1 species